AUUGAACGCUGGCGGCAUGCCUUACACAUGCAAGUCGAACGGCAGCACGGGUGCUUGCACCUGGUGGCGAGUGGCGAACGGGUGAGUAAUACAUCGGAACAUGUCCAGUAAUGGGGGAUAGCCCGGCGAAAGCCGGAUUAAUACCGCAUACGCUCUACGGAGGAAAGCGGGGGAUCGAAAGACCUCACGUUAUUGGGGUGGCCGAUGGCGGAUUAGCUAGUUGGUGGGGUAAAGGCUCACCAAGGCGACGAUCCGUAGCUGGUCUGAGAGGACGACCAGCCACACUGGGACUGGGACACGGCCCAGACUCCUACGGGAGGCAGCAGUGGGGAAUUUUGGACAAUGGGCGAAAGCCUGAUCCAGCAAUGCCGCGUGUGUGAAGAAGGCCUUCGGGUUGUAAAGCACUUUUGUCCGGAAAGAAAUCCUUGAUCCUAAUAUGGUCGGGGGAUGACGGUACCGGAAGAAUAAGCACCGGCUAACUACGUGCCAGCCGCCGCCGUAAAAC
rnacentral:rRNA from 1 species